rnacentral:rRNA from 1 species
CCAGACUCCUACGGGAGGCAGCAGUGGGGAAUAUUGCACAAUGGGCGCAAGCCUGAUGCAGCGACGCCGCGUGCGGGAUGACGGCCUUCGGGUUGUAAACCGCUUUUGACUGGGAGCAAGCCCUUCGGGGUGAGUGUACCUUUCGAAUAAGCACCGGCUAACUACGUGCCAGCAGCCGCGGUAAUACGUAGGGUGCAAGCGUUAUCCGGAAUUAUUGGGCGUAAAGGGCUCGUAGGCGGUUCGUCGCGUCCGGUGUGAAAGUCCAUCGCUUAACGGUGGAUCCGCGCCGGGUACGGGCGGGCUUGAGUGCGGUAGGGGAGACUGGAAUUCCCGGUGUAACGGUGGAAUGUGUAGAUAUCGGGAAGAACACCAAUGGCGAAGGCAGGUCUCUGGGCCGUCACUGACGCUGAGGAGCGAAAGCGUGGGGAGCGAACAGGAUUAGAUACCCUGGUAGUCCACGCCGUAAACGGUGGAUGCUGGAUGUGGGGACCAUUCCACGGUCUCCGUGUCGGAGCCAACGCGUUAAGCAUCCCGCCUGGGGAGUACGGCCGCAAGGCUAAAACUCAAAGAAAUUGACGGGGGCCCGCACAAGCGGCGGAGCAUGCGGAUUAAUUCGAUGCAACGCGAAGAACCUUACCUGGGCUUGACAUGUUCCCGACAGCCGUAGAGAUACGGUCUCCCUUCGGGGCGGGUUCACAGGUGGUGCAUGGUCGUCGUCAGCUCGUGUCGUGAGAUGUUGGGUUAAGUCCCGCAACGAGCGCAACCCUCGCCCUGUGUUGCCAGCACGUCGUGGUGGGAACUCACGGGGGACCGCCGGGGUCAACUCGGAGGAAGGUGGGGAUGACGUCAGAUCAUCAUGCCCCUUACGUCCAGGGCUUCACGCAUGCUACAAUGGCCGGUACAACGGGAUGCGACACUGUGAGGUGGAGCGGAUCCCUUAAAACCGGUCUCAGUUCGGAUUGGAGUCUGCAACCCGACUCCAUGAAGGCGGAGUCGCUAGUAAUCGCGGAUCAGCAACGCCGCGGUGAAUGCGUUCCCGGGCCUUGUACACACCGCCCGUCAAGUCAUGAAAGUGGGUAGCACCCGAAGCCGGUGGCCCAACCUUUUUGGGGGGAGCCGUCUAAGGUGAGACUCGUGAUUGGGACUAAGUCGUAACAAGGUAGCCGUACCGGAAGGUGCGGCUG